UUAGGAAUUUUGGGCAAUGGCCGCAAGGCUGACCCAGCAACGCCGCGUGGGGGACGAAGGCCUUCGGGUUGUAAACCCCUUUUCCCGGGGACGAUGAUGACGGUACCCGGGGAAUCAGCCCCGGCUAACUACGUGCCAGCAGCCGCGGUAAUACGUAGGGGGCGAGCGUUGUCCGGAUUCAUUGGGCGUAAAGCGCGGGCAGGCGGCCCGCCCAGUCGGCCGUGAAAGCGCCGGGCUCAACUCGGCGAGGACGGGCGAUACUGGCGGGCUCGAGGCUGGCAGAGGGCGGUGGAAUUCCGGGUGUAGUGGUGGAAUGCGUAGAGCUCCGGAGGAACACCAGUGGCGAAGGCGGCCGCCUGGGCCAGCCCUGACGCUGAACCGCGAAAGCGUGGGGAGCGAUCCG
rnacentral:rRNA from 1 species